GAUGAACGCUGGCGGCGUGCUUAACACAUGCAAGUCGAACGAGCCUUCGGGCUAGUGGCGGACGGGUGAGUAACGCGUGGGAAUCUGCCCUCAGGAGGGGGAUAACGGCCGGAAACGGCCGCUAAUACCCCAUAUGCCGAGAGGUGAAACGAAUUUCGCCUGGGGAUGAGCCCGCGUCUGAUUAGCUAGUUGGUGAGGUAAUGGCUCACCAAGGCUUCGAUCAGUAGCUGGUCUGAGAGGAUGAUCAGCCACACUGGGACUGAGACACGGCCCAGACUCCUACGGGAGGCAGCAGUGGGGAAUUUUCCGCAAUGGGCGCAAGCCUGACGGAGCAACGCCGCGUGAGGGACGAAGGCCUCUGGGCUGUAAACCUCUUUUCUCAAGGAAGAAGACAUGACGGUACUUGAGGAAUAAGCCACGGCUAAUUCCGUGCCAGCAGCCGCGGUAAUACGGGAGUGGCAAGCGUUAUCCGGAAUUAUUGGGCGUAAAGCGUCCGCAGGCGGCCUUGAAAGUCUGUUGUUAAAGCGUGGAGCUCAACUCCAUUUAAGCAAUGGAAACUACAAGGCUAGAGUGUGGUAGGGGCAGAGGGAAUUCCCGGUGUAGCGGUGAAAUGCGUAGAUAUCGGGAAGAACACCAGUGGCGAAGGCGCUCUGCUGGGCCAUAACUGACGCUCAUGGACGAAAGCCAGGGGAGCGAAAGGGAUUAGAUACCCCUGUAGUCCUGGCCGUAAACGAUGAACACUAGGUGUCGGGAGAAUUAACCCUUCCGGUGUCGUAGCCAACGCGUUAAGUGUUCCGCCUGGGGAGUACGCACGCAAGUGUGAAACUCAAAGGAAUUGACGGGGGCCCGCACAAGCGGUGGAGUAUGUGGUUUAAUUCGAUGCAACGCGAAGAACCUUACCAGGGUUUGACAUCCUGCGAAUCCCUUGGAAACGAGGGAGUGCCUUCGGGAACGCAGUGACAGGUGGUGCAUGGCUGUCGUCAGCUCGUGUCGUGAGAUGUUGGGUUAAGUCCCGCAACGAGCGCAACCCACGUCUUUAGUUGCCAGCAUUCAGUUGGGCACUCUAGAGAGACCGCCGGUGAUAAACCGGAGGAAGGUGUGGAUGACGUCAAGUCAUCAUGCCCCUUACAUCCUGGGCUACACACGUACUACAAUGCUACGGACAAAGGGCAGCAAACUCGCGAGAGCUAGCAAAUCCCAUAAACCGUGGCUCAGUUCAGAUCGUAGGCUGCAACUCGCCUACGUGAAGGAGGAAUCGCUAGUAAUCGCAGGUCAGCAUACUGCGGUGAAUACGUUCCCGGGCCUUGUACACACCGCCCGUCACACCAUGGAAGUUGGCCAUGCCCGAAGUCGUUACUCCAACCCGCAAGGGAGGAGGACGCCGAAGGUGGGGCUGAUGACUGGGGUGAAGUCGUAACAAGGUAGCCGUACCGGAAGGUGCGGCUGGAUCACCUCCUAA
rnacentral:rRNA from 5 species